CUGGGUCCAGCUUCCAGGUAAUGUAACAGUCCUGCCUUGGCCCUGCCCACAAGGGGCAUUGUGACAUAUUGCUGAGCCCAGUACCUAGGUGAUAUGACUCUCCUGAAUUGCCCCUGCACUCAGGGGAGACUUUUGACCCUGCCCAAAGUGGCAAUUGUGACAUAUCUUUGGCCAGCACCCAGGAGAUCCAAACUUUGUUCCUGGUCUCUCUCCACAGUUGGAAUUGGGAACUACACAUGGGCACAGCUUACAGGUGGAAUGAUGACUCACACCUGAAGAUAUUUUGACCUUUGUAGUCUUAGGGCAAAAACUAAGGUCCUGUGUCUUCAACUUGUAGGAUGGUCACGGAAUAUUACAACUUGCAUGCACGUUGAAUGAAGCCCUCAAAUGCUACAAAGAGUGCCAAAAUAGAGCCCAGCUAAAACUGUGGUAAAACUGUGGCUGUUGUAUGCAAACUCAAAUAAAAGUAAGGAUUAUCAGCCUUCCACAUUAACAGAACCCACUGUUGAGGUUCUGAAUCGCUCACCAAGAGGCAAUCAAGUUGGAAUUGUGACUCUCAUGCAUCAAUCCAAUCGACAGAUGAGAUGAUAACACCAAGUCCAGGAUUUAGAACACCUGGGGGCUGUGCUUCCCCUAUCAAAACACAGUCUGUUGGUGAGAUUUGGGCUCUCGUGCAUUGAUUUAGUCCACUGUUGUGACUGACUUGCAUAGUUGAACUCAAACCCACAAGAGGUGUUGACUCUUAUACCUUUAGCAGGAAAAUGUCCCGGAUUGUGAAUUUCUGCUAUUGACCGGGUCCAGCUGGAUCCAGGUAUGAGAGUCAUCAUCUCACCUGUGAGCUGUGACCAUGUAUAUGUCGCAAUUUCACCUGUCAUCAGGAAGCAGACAUGAGAGUCCUAUCACCUGGGUGCUGGGCCGGAGCACAAUGGUGUGAUCUCGACUCACUGCAACCUCCGCCUCCCGGAUUCAAGCGAUUCUCCUGCCUCAGCCUGCCGAGUAGCUGGGAUUACAGAUGAAAAAAGAUGCAAAGAAGACAUAUUUGCUUUUUAUCCACACAUCAUUUCCAAUCACUAUGCUGAGCAAAGUCAAUGUGAGCAGAGCUGAGAAUAGCAGUUUUCUGGCAGGACGGCCACUUCUGAGCAAAAAAUGACACAAUAAAAGUAUAAAUAUUUAAUAGUAAGCUAAUAUAUUUUCAGCAAAUUAAGCAUAUGCAUUAAUAAAAUUAUUGUGGUAUAAU
rnacentral:lncRNA from 1 species